rnacentral:pre_miRNA from 2 species
GGAAGAAUCAUUUCGUGCACAUACAAACAUACACUUUUGUUGUGUGUGUGUGUGUGUGUGUGUGUACAUAUUGAUAUAUUUCCA